CGCGAGUUGCGUCGUCAAACGACUCCACCACUGUCAAACUUGUCGACACACAAAAAAAGACAAGUAUUUUUUAAAUAUUUGUAUUUGUCUGAAAUGUAAGUUGAAUCUUCAGAUUCAACUACAUACAUAUGUACAUAUAAAAUUGUAAUAUAAGAUAUGCCGGGUCGUUGAUGCUGAGGAAUGUCAAGUCAGCACAACGGCUUCAGGUAAAUUUAGCAAGUAAGAUUUUUAUAAAGGUUUCAGGUAAAUUUAGCAAGUAAGAUUUUUAUAAAGGUUUCAGGUAAAUUUAGGAAAUAAGAUUUUUGGUAAAGAAUAAAAUGAUGAUUAAUAAACUGGACGGCAAGCCGCUCAGUACGGUAAA